UACGUAGGGUGCAAGCGUUAAUCGGAAUUACUGGGCGUAAAGCGUGCGCAGGCGGCUUUGCAAGACAGAUGUGAAAUCCCCGGGCUCAACCUGGGAAUGGCAUUUGUGACUGCACGGCUAGAGUGUGUCAGAGGGGGGUAGAAUUCCACGUGUAGCAGUGAAAUGCGUAGAUAUGUGGAGGAAUACCGAUGGCGAAGGCAGCCCCCUGGGAUAACACUGACGCUCAUGCACGAAAGCGUGGGGAGCAAACAGG
rnacentral:rRNA from 1 species